rnacentral:rRNA from 1 species
UACGGAGGAUCCGAGCGUUAUCCGGAUUUAUUGGGUUUAAAGGGUGCGUAGGCGGUCCGUUAAGUCAGCGGUAAAAUUGCGGGGCUCAACCCCGUCGAGCCGUUGAAACUGGCAGACUUGAGUUGGCGAGAAGUACGCGGAAUGCGCGGUGUAGCGGUGAAAUGCUUAGAGAUCAUACAGAACACCGAUUGCGAAGGCAGCAUACCGGCGCCCAACUGACGCUGAAGCACGAAAGCGUGGGUAUCGAACAGG